UACGAAGGGGGCUAGCGUUGCUCGGAAUCACUGGGCGUAAAGGGUGCGUAGGCGGGUCUUUAAGUCAGGGGUGAAAUCCUGGAGCUCAACUCCAGAACUGCCUUUGAUACUGAAGAUCUUGAGUUCGGGAGAGGUGAGUGGGACUGCGAGUGUAGAGGUGAAAUUCGUAGAUAUUCGCAAGAACACCAGUGGCGAAGGCGGCUCACUGGCCCGAUACUGACGCUGAGGCACGGAAGCGUGGGGAGCAAACAGG
rnacentral:rRNA from 1 species